rnacentral:lncRNA from 1 species
AGACUCUUCUGUGUGUGCGAGCGCGGAGGCUGCGUGCUGGUCAAUCGCUGCCGCCCUGCGCCCUGCGGAGCUCCAGAGCUCGAACCCCAGCCCUGGAAACCCAGGUGAGUCCCAGAGCGGCUUCCCAUCGGCGACUUCACUCUUUUGUCAGUUGUCUGUACGAUCUAGGAUGGUGAGAAGGUCACCACUUUAAGCUGGGGCAAUCUCCAAACUCCUUCACAACUCACAUAUUUAACCACACUUAGGCUUUACCCUCUCAACCAGGGCAGAGAAAGGAGGCUGGGACCUGACCUGUGCCACUUUUUUUUUUUUUUUUUUGUACUCUCCUGGAAGAGAGUAUUUUGAUCAUCUGUGGCCUGUGCUAAUUGUGGACACGAGAAGGUCUGAACCGCGCACUGGACUUCUUGUGGACUGGGAUCUUUGAUUAAUGACAUCUCUUUCUACUUUAGAAAAUGAGGUUCCGAAGACCACCAUCACUGAUUAAAUAUUUUUCUAAAACUGGGUAUUUGGCUUCUUGUCACGCUCUGGGAGCAUAAACUAAACGGAGGCUCGUUACCCCUUUUUGUUCUUUGUGCUCCAUUUCCAGUAAAGUUACAGCCAUCCCUGUCCCACCCUGCGCCGCUUUUCUGAGGCUCUUCCUCUGCCCCUUUCUCCUCCUUUCUCCCUCUUUUAAGUGCUGGGGGUUGAAUUCAGUGCCUCCCACAUGCUGGAUUGUAUCUUCCUUUUGACUCUUUUUGUUGUAGAUGCUGAGGUUAUUUUAAACUCGGACAACACUCAUGCUUUUACAAGCCAAUAUUUUCCUAGGGUCUGAACUUUGUUUUAAUUAUAGCCUCAUUACUUAGUAAUACGGCUUUGUAUUGAGACAGUGUGUGCAGAACAUUGAAUUAGGUGUGAUAUUGAAGUGAGAGAGAUGGGGUGAUGUCAAAUUAAGACAGUUCCUGGACUCAAAAGAGUUUGCAAUCAACUGAAUCGAAUUUGGUCAGGAAGACUGUGGGUUCUAGCAAAUAAUUGAAUAAACAACCUAGAUUGUUUCUACUAUCCUUCUUAAAGAAAGAUUAUUUUGAAGAGAGAGGUUUUAGUUUUUUUUUUUUAAUUUUCAAACUUUCUUGUAUCUAUGGUAGUGAAGGUUUUGUUGUUGUACCUGAGUGUCCCACAAUGAAGUAGGAAAAGAAAAGAACACACAGUCAUUUAAAAUCUCAGUAACAUAUAUUACAACCAGGAAGUGUUAUAAAGUUGUAUGGAAAGAAGCACUAGAGCUGUGUCUGGAACAGUGAACAGGACUUAGCUCUGUAGGGGUGGAGGAAUGGGGGGAUAGUCCAGGCACAGAAAUACUGGUGAGGGCACUGUACAUACACGUCUCUAUUUCUAAUAAACACGCCUUUCAAGAUUUCAAGAGGGAACAAAAAGAGUAAGGUCUGCGGAGGUAGUUUGGUGGUAGAGUUUACCCUUCCAUGAGCAAGGCCCUGGAUUCUAUCCCUGACACCUUGAAAUAAAAUCAAAACAUAAAAGAAGUCAUGAAGGAUAGUCAUAUAGAACUGUUAACCCACCAAAAGCCUACAUGUAGAAAAAAAUGGGAAUGAUAAACGCAGUUAAUGUAUGAGGCUUAAUGGGAAUAUAACCUGCAAUGUAAAAGACACUAAAGUAAGUAGGUAGCGGUCCUGUGUGGGAGCAUGCCUUGCUGCCCCCUUGUUGUGUUUUUUUUGUUGAGCCUCAAUCAGUUUUUAAUUCUGAUUGACUAUUGUGUCUUAGUUU